rnacentral:rRNA from 1 species
AUUGAACGCUGGCGGCAUGCCUUACACAUGCAAGUCGAACGGUAACAGGUCUUCGGAUGCUGACGAGUGGCGAACGGGUGAGUAAUACACCGGAACGUGCCCGAUCGUGGGGGAUAACGGAGCGAAAGCUUUGCUAAUACCGCAUACGAUCUACGGAUGAAAGCAGGGGACCGCAAGGCCUUGCGCGGACGGAGCGGCCGAUGGCCGAGUAGGUUGUUGGUGGGAUAAAAGCUUACCAAGCCGACGAUCUGUAGCUGGUCUGAGAGGACGACCAGCCACACUGGGACUGGGCCACGGCCCAGACUCCUGCGGGAGGCAGCAGUGGGGAAUUUUGGACAAUGGGCGAAAGCCUGAUCCAGCCAUGCCGCGUGCAGGAUGGAGGCCUUCGGGUUGUGAACUGCUUUUGUACGGAGCGAAAAGACUCUUUCUAAUAAAGAGGGUCCGUGACGGUACCGGAAGAAUAAGCACCGGCUAACUACGUG